CAUCUUAGGUAACUUUUGUUAAGGUCAAACUUCAUAGAUCUAGUGUAUCAUCUAAAUUUGUCUGAUCUUGGUUAGAGAUAAUUUCUUGUUUACUUUUCUAAGUUAUACCAGGAAUUAUGCAGCAGGACUAAGGUUAAGUGGCUUGAGUUAUAUGUCUAAUGAAGGUUAGAAUCAAAACCACAAAUCAUAAAUGGGUUAGGUUGCAGUUAGCAAAUUGUCGAGAAC
rnacentral:lncRNA from 1 species